rnacentral:sRNA from 1 species
CAUAGUCCCCAUAAGGGAGGGUGAGAGCCCUCGACCGGGUUCGACAAAACGGCAGCGCCGUUUUGCAUGGCCGACAGGCCACCCGCAGGGCGAGGCGCAACGCGCCGGGUGUAUCCCUCCCUCACCGCAA